rnacentral:rRNA from 1 species
AUCGAAAGCUGGCGGCAGGCCUAACACAUGCAAGUCGAACGAGAGGCGGACGGGUGAGUAAUGUCUGGGAAACUGCAUGAUGGAGGGGGAUAACUACUGGAAACGGUAGCUAAUAACGCAUACCAUCAGAUGUGCCCAGAUGGGAUUAGUUAGUUGGUGGGGUAACGGCUCACCAAGGCGACGAUCCCUAGCUGGUCUGAGAGUUUGACCGGCCACCCUGGUGCUGAGACACGUUCCACACUCCCACGGUAGGCAGCAGUAGGGAAUCUUCCUCAAUGGUCGCAAGCCGGAUCCAGCCAUGCCGCGGGUCUGAAGAAGGCCUUCGGGUUGUAAAGUGCUUUUGGCGGAGAAGCGGUACCCGCAGAGUAAGCACCGGCUAACGCCGUGCCAGCAGCCGCGGUAAUAC